rnacentral:lncRNA from 1 species
GGGCCUCCUGGGGGCGGCCCCGGCUCCUCUGGGAACAGACUGUCUGUUUGCUGAGAUACCAUCGCAUUCCUGCAGCCUCAGCCACCCCAGGAUGGAUGGGGGUGGGGGGGGCGGUGUGCAAGGGGAGGGGAGGAGGAAAUAGGACAGCUGCUGGCCCUCUGUUCCCCUGGGGCCCUCACUGAGAAGGCUGCCGCCCUGGGUCCUCCAGGGGGGUCUAUGGUUUUCUGGCCUGCUUGUUGAGUACUUUGGAAAGCUCCUUAUUAGCCAACGUGGGUACCCCACUCUACAGUUUACAGAGCGUUUUCUCAACAAUGACCUAUUUUGCUCUUCCAGAUAACCUUCUGUGUAGGUAGUCUGGGGUGCUGAAUUUCCACAGAGGAGAGCUGCCUAGCCAACAGCGAGUAUGGCCAUCGUUGGAGCAGGAGCCCUUGAAUGAGCCCCAGCUGACCAGUUCCAGCCACUGGGAAUGCUUACCGUAUGGCGGUGACUGUCAAAAGCACGUUAGAUGCAUUAGCUUGCUUAUUCUUCACCAACAGCCCUUGGGAGUGGAAGGGGCCCAGGAAGAUGGAAGUGUCCAAGGCCCACAGAAGUCACAGCACAGCCCUGCAUAUAGUCCUGGGCUCUGGAAGGCAGGCUCUGACAACUGUGUCCCUCAGUCCCUUCCCCAACAGAGCAUGGCUGGUGUUAGUGGGGCCGGGGGUCAGAAAUGUUUAUCACACACUUGCUGGCUGCCUAGCCCUGGGGAGGAAAGUUGAGCAUCGGUCGUGCCCUGGUCAGCCUAGGAGGAGAAGAUGUACAUACAGGGAAACCAAGGGCAAGGUAAGACAGGACACACUCUCCAACUGUGGUCAGUCUUACUUGUAUCUCUUCUUGUGUUUGUCAUUUUGUCUGUCACUGGGUCAGACCCUCUUUGGUUAUAGCAUUGUUUCAUGUCUUUGAUUCUUCAACCAUUUUUUUUGUUGGUUUAUUCCUUUCUUCAACCAAUGUUUAUUAAAUUCAUUAUUCAGGUUUUUUAAAAUUUUAUUUUAUUUAUUUAUUUGAUAGAGAGAGACCACAAGCAGGGGGAGUGAAAGGGAGAGGGAGAAGCAUGCAGAGCUUGCUCCCAGAACUGUGGAAUCAUGACCUGAGUAGAAGGCAGAUGCUUAAUUGACUGAGCCACCCAGGCGUCCCUUUAUUUUUAUUUAUUUUUAUUUAAAAA